UACGUAGGGUGCGAGCGUUGUCCGGAAUUAUUGGGCGUAAAGAGCUCGUAGGCGGUCUGUCGCGUCGAAUGUGGAAACCCGGGGCUCAACUCCGGGCUUGCAUUCGAUACGGGCAGGCUAGAGUUCGGUAGGGGAGUCUGGAAUUCCUGGUGUAGCGGUGAAAUGCGCAGAUAUCAGGAGGAACACCGGUGGCGAAGGCGGGACUCUGGGCCGAUACUGACGCUGAGGAGCGAAAGCGUGGGGAGCGAACAGG
rnacentral:rRNA from 1 species